rnacentral:rRNA from 1 species
AUUGAACGCUGGCGGCAUGCCUUACACAUGCAAGUCGAACGGCAGCACGGGAGCAAUCCUGGUGGCGAGUGGCGAACGGGUGAGUAAUAUAUCGGAACGUGCCCAGUCGUGGGGGAUAACGUAGCGAAAGCUACGCUAAUACCGCAUACGAUCUAUGGAUGAAAGCGGGGGAUCGCAAGACCUCGCGCGAUUGGAGCGGCCGAUAUCAGAUUAGGUAGUUGAUGAGGUAAAGGCUCACCAAGCCGACGAUCUGUAGCUGGUCUGAGAGGACGACCAGCCACACUGGGACUGGGAAACGGCCCAGACUCCUACGGGAGGCAGCAGUGGGGAAUUUUGGACAAUGGGCGCAAGCCUGAUCCAGCAAUGCCGCGUGCAGGAUGAAGGCCUUCGGGUUGUAAACUGCUUUUGUACGGAACGAAACGGUGAGCUCUAAUACAGUUUGCUAAUGACGGUACCGUAAGAAUAAGCAUCGGCUAACUACGUGCCAGCCGCCGUAACAC